CACCGCGGUUAUACGAGAGGCUCAAGUUGACAAACUACGGCGUAAAGCGUGGUUAAGAACCCCCCAAAAUAAAGUCGAAUGCUUUCAAAGCUGUCAUACGCACUUGAAAGUAAGAAGCCCAAUCACGAAGGUAACUUUACAUAAUUCUGACCCCACGAAAGCUAGGCCA
rnacentral:rRNA from 2 species